rnacentral:rRNA from 1 species
GACGAACGCUGGCGGCGUGCUUAACACAUGCAAGUCGAACGGAAAGGCCCUGCUUUUGUGGGGUGCUCGAGUGGCGAACGGGUGAGUAACACGUGAGUAACCUGCCCUUGACUUUGGGGUAACUUCAGGAAACUGGGGCUAAUACCGGAUAGGAGCUCCUGCUGCAUGGUGGGGGUUGGAAAGUUUCGGCGGUUGGGGAGGGACUCGCGGCUUAUCAGCUUGUUGGUGGGGUAGUGGCUUACCAAGGCUUUGACGGGUAGCCGGCCUGAGAGGGUGACCGGCCACAUUGGGACUGAGAUACGGCCCGGACUCCUACGGGAGGCAGCAGUGGGGAAUAUUGCACAAUGGGCGGAAGCCUGAUGCAGCAACGCCGCGUGCGGGAUGACGGCCUUCGGGUUGUAAACCGCUUUCGCCUGUGACGAAGCGUGAGUGACGGUAAUGGGUAAAGAAGCACCGGCUAACUACGUG